rnacentral:rRNA from 1 species
ACGGAAGGCAGCAGUGAGGCAUAUUGGUCAAUGGGCGAGAGCCUGAACCAGCCAAGUCGCGUGAAGGAAGACGGCCCUAUGGGUUGUAAACUUCUUUUGCCUGGGAAUAAAGUGAGGGACGCGUCCCUUAUUGUAUGUACCAUGCGAAUAAGGAUCGGCUAACUCCGUGCCAGCAGCCGCGGUAAUACGGAGGAUCCGAGUGUUAUCCGGAUUUAUUGGGUUUAAAGGGUGCGUAGGCGGGCGAUCAAGUCAGUGGUGAAAUGGUGUGGCUCAACCAUAGCAUUGCCGUUGAAACUGGUUGUCUUGAGUGCGAAUGAGGUGGGCGGAAUGUGUCAUGUAGCGGUGAAAUGCAUAGAUAUGACACAGAACACCGAUUGCGAAGGCAGCUCACUGGGGCGCAACUGACGCUGAGGCACGAAAGUGCGGGGAUCGAACAGGAUUAGAUACCCUGGUA